GUUAGGGCUUGAGUCAGGGACUCGCCGAAAGUUUAGUCGUCAGUCAGUCAUCAACGGUGUUCGUUACGUCUCAAAGGGUGUCUUUAUCCAUCCCGAAAACAGAUGGUAUAGGGCGUGGACGAAGCUCAUACUGAUAUGGGCAAUCUACUCAUCCUUUUUUACACCCAUGGAGUUUGGGUUCUUCAGGGGAUUACCUGAGAAC
rnacentral:misc_RNA from 1 species